CAGCUCAAAUUUGAAAGCUAGCUCUUUUAGGGUUCGCAUUGUAAUUUGUAGAAGAUGCUUCGGGUGUGGCCCCGGUCUAAGUUCCUUGGAACAGGACGUCAUAGAGGGUGAGAAUCCCGUAUGUGACUGGGUGCUUUCGCUCAUGUGAAGCUCUUUCGACGAGUCGAGUUGUUUGGGAAUGCAGCUCAAAAUGGGUGGUAAAUUUCAUCUAAAGCUAAAUAUUGGCCAGAGACCGAUAGCGCACAAGUAGAGUGAUCGAAAGAUGAAAAGCACUUUGGAAAGAGAGUUAAACAGUACGUGAAAUUGUUGAAAGGGAAGCGCUUGCAACCAGACUUGCGCGCUGAUGAUCAUCCGGGCUUCUGUCCGGUGCACUCGUCUGCGCUCAGGCCAGCAUCGGUUUCGGUGGUGGGAUAAAGGCCUUGGGAAUGUAGCUCCUCUCGGGGAGUGUUAUAGCCCUCGGUGCAAUGCCGCCUAUCGGGACCGAGGACCGCGCUUCGGCUAGGAUGCUGGCGUAAUGGUUGUAAGCGACCCGUCUUGAAACACGGACCAAGGAGUCUAACAUCUAUGCGAGUGUUUGGGUGUCAAACCCAUACGCGUAAUGAAAGUGAACGGAGGUGAGAACCCUUAAGGGUGCAUCAUCGACCGGUCCUGAUGUCUUCGGAUGGAUCUGAGUAAGAGCAUAGCUGUUGGGACCCGAAAGAUGGUGAACUAUGCGUGAAUAGGGUGAAGCCAGAGGAAACUCUGGUGGAGGCUCGCAGCGGUUCUGACGUGCAAAUCGAUCG
rnacentral:rRNA from 1 species